ensembl:lncRNA
AUGAGAAGAAAUAAGGGUCCAGGCCGACAGCUGUAAUGACACUCUGCUCCAGCCCAGCCCCUAGUGUCAGUUUUAACUAGGUGACCAUGGAGAAGUUACUGAGUGUCUCUGACCACAGAUUUCAUCCCUGUAAAUACAGAGGUUAUCCUUCAUCAAAAGGUUCUGGUGAGUAUGAAAUGAGACCGUGUGGAAUGGCUCAGUAGAAACAUCUAGAACAUGUGGACCCUGGUGCUGGUGGAGCUCGUCCUUUGCCCUCCAGUGAAGAGGGAGGGCAGCUGGGCUCCAACUCCAAACCUGUGAGCCCAUGGGGCCAAAGUGACAAGUACGACAAUACUGUCAUCUUUAAGCGCCUCAUUAUACAGUGGCCCCUUGGCAAACCCUCUACAUAAAGUGUCAUGGCUUUAGGCUCUAGACUUUUUUAAGAGUAAGAGGUUACAUCAGUGGCCCCUAAAGAUGUUAAUAU